ACGGCUCAGUAACACGUGGAUAACAUGCCCUAAGGAGGGGGAUAAUCUCGGGAAACUGAGGGUAAUACCCCAUAGGUCUAUUUUGCUGGAAUGCUAAUAGGCCGAAAACUCCGGUGCCUUAGGAUUGGUCUGCGGUCUAUCAGGCUGUAGUGGGUGUAAUGGACCCACUAGCCCGUGACGGAUAUGGGCCUUGAGAGAGGGAGCCCAGAGAAGGACUCUGAGACAUGAGUCCAGGCCCUACGGGGCGCAGCAGUCGCGAAAACUUCGCAAUGGGGGCAACCCCGACGAGGGAAUUCCAAGUGCUAGCACUUUGUGUUAGCUGUUCUUCUGUCUAAAAAACAGGAGGAGUAAGGGGCGGGUAAGACGGGUGCCAGCCGCCGCGGUAAUACCCGCGCCCCAAGUGGUGGUCGAUAUUAUUGAGCCUAAAGCGUCCGUAGCCGGUCUUCUAAAUCCUUGGGUAAAUCGGGCAGCUUAACUGUCCGAAGUCCGGGGAGACUGGGAGACUUGGGACCGGGAGAGGUCAGAGGUACUUCUGGGGUAGGGGUAAAAUCCUGUAAUCCUGGAAGGACCACCGGUGGCGAAGGCGUCUGACUAGAACGGAUCCGACGGUGAGGGACGAAGCCCUGGGGCGCAAACGGGAUUAGAUACCCCGGUAGUCCAGGGUGUAAACGCUGCGGGCUUGGUGUUGGGGGUCCUUAGUGGGCGCCCAGUGCCGGAGAGAAGUUGUUAAGCCUGCUGCUUGGGGAGUAUGUCCGCAAGGAUGAAACUUAAAGGAAUUGGCGGGGGAGCAC
rnacentral:rRNA from 1 species